AUUGAACGCUAGCGGCAUGCCUUACACAUGCAAGUCGAACGGUAACGCGGGGCAACCUGGCGACGAGUGGCGAACGGGUGAGUAAUGCAUCGGAACGUGCCCAGAAGUGGGGGAUAGCCCGGCGAAAGCCAGAUUAAUACCGCAUGAGACCUGAGGGUGAAAGCGGGGGAUCGCAAGACCUCGCGCUUUUGGAGCGGCCGAUGUCAGAUGAGCUAGUUGGUGGGGUAAAGGCCUACCAAGGCGACGAUCUGUAGCUGGUCUGAGAGGACGACCAGCCACACUGGGACUGAGACACGGCCAAGACGCCUGCGGGAGGCAGCAGUGGGGAAUUUUGGACAAUGGGCGCAAGCCUGAUCCAGCCAUGCCGCGUGCGGGAAGAAGGCCUUCGGGUUGUAAACCGCUUUUGUCAGGGAAGAAACGCUCUGGGCUAAUACCCUGGGGUAAUGACGGUACCUGAAGAAUAAGCACCGGCUAACUACGUGCCAGCAGCCGCAGUAA
rnacentral:rRNA from 1 species